UCCAAAAUCCCGGCUUUCGGUUUCUUCCACCACAAGGAACCAGGCCGCGCCGCCGCCUCCUCCGCCACCUCCCCCGCCGCCAAUGCCAAUUCAGACUCAAACCCACGACGCCCAACAGAGAGCUCCAUCGUUUUCUCAUAAGAGGCCGAAAUUCUCCUCCCCACCUCCACCAAAUUUGACUCGUGUAUCUAAAGCCCCUGUUCCGCCUCCUCCGCCACCGCCGCCGUCGCGACCGACGAUAUUAAGGCAAGUUGGGGAUUCAGAAAGAGUGGUUUCUGCAAGGCCAGCUCAAGUUCCGGUGAAGCCACAGCCACAAUCCUCCUUUGCAGCAAUCCCGAAAGGGCCUUUGGAAAAUGGGACAAGAAAA
rnacentral:lncRNA from 1 species